UACAGAGGUCCCAAGCGUUGUUCGGAUUCAUUGGGCGUAAAGGGUGCGUAGGUGGCGCUGUAGGUGGGGUGUGAAAUUUCGGAGCUUAACUCCGAAACUGCAUUCCAUACUGCGGUGCUUGAGGACUGGAGAGGAGACUGGAAUUUACGGUGUAGCAGUGAAAUGCGUAGAGAUCGUAAGGAAGACCAGUGGCGAAGGCGGGUCUCUGGACAGUUCCUGACACUGAGGCACGAAGGCCAGGGGAGCAAACGGG
rnacentral:rRNA from 1 species